UAUAGGAAUAUUAUAAAUAUCUGAACCAGAGCCAGAACAGAAACGUACGCGUGAAAUGAAACUACGCCCGAACCCCGAGAAAAUAAAAGGGCAAAUAUUUCAAAGCAUACAGUCAUACGUUUUCGUUGCUUGAUUUCCUGACUUUUCUGUUGCUAUAAGAAUCUGCAUUUUAGCAUGUUUGUAUAAUUUAAAAAAACAGAAACCAAUUUAGCAAGUAGUUUGAAGUAUAUAUGAUUCUCAAAGAUGAUUGUACGUUCUGGCCACUCCUUGCAAUCGAAGUGCGAAGUGCGGAAGUGGAAACAUGUAAUAUGAGACUUUUCCAUCCCCUCUUGGGCAAUCAAUUUUCUAUGGGUCACGUGACCAGCUCCGGAAAGAGCCUGGGAACGAGGUUGAAUAACGAGCUGUCAAUGGUCAAAAGCAGGUCAUAUUUUAGAAAUGGCAGGCAAAAACAAAUUUGAAUUGCCAAAGUAAAAAAAAUAGCAGGUGAAAUUCUAUAGAUAUAUUUCAUUUCAUUUGCUUACCACAACUCAUAUAUACUAGAUCAUUUAGU